CAGCAGUAGCCACGGUAAUACGUAGGGUGCAAGCGUUAAUCGGAAUUACUGGGCGUAAAGCGUGUGCAGGCGGUUUGUUAAGACAGAUGUGAAAUCCCCGGGCUCAACCUGGGAACUGCAUUUGUGACUGGCAGGCUAGAGUAUGGCAGAGGGGGGUGGAAUUCCGCGUGUAGCAGUGAAAUGCGUAGAUAUGCGGAGGAACACCGAUGGCGAAGGCAGCCCCCUGGGCCAAUACUGACGCUCAUGCACGAAAGCGUGGGGAGCAAACAGGAUUAGAUACCCCGGUAGUCCCUGUCUCUUAUAU
rnacentral:rRNA from 1 species